ensembl:lncRNA
ACUUUCUGAGUGAUAUGGUUUGGCCGUGUCCUCACCCAAAUCUAAUCUUGAAAUCCCAUGUGUUGUGGGAGGGACCCAGUGGGAGGUAACUGAAUCAUGGAGACAAGUAUUUCCUGUGCUCUUCUCAUGACAGUGGGUAAGUUUCUAUUUAUAAAUGAGAGCUGAUGGUUUUAUAAAUGGGAGCUUCUCUGCACAAGCUCUCUCCUCUUGUUUGCUGCCAUGUGAGACAUGCCUUUCACCUUCGGCCGUGACUGUGAGGCCAUCCCAGCCACAUGGAACUAUGUGCCUUGCUUCCUUCCUCUUUGCCUUCUGCCAUGAUUGUAAGUUUCCUGAGGCCUUCCCAGCCAUGCAACAUGGUGGAUCCACUCUGGAGCAUGCUCUACAGAGUCUUUUAUGGACCCAAGUGGAAGAAAAGAAGAACAACCCAGUUAUUCACAAAGAUAACUUAGGAAGUAGUGUUCAAAUAUCACAGCUUCUUUGUGCAACAGCCUAUAUCAGUGCUUUGACUUUAGGCUCUACCAGGAACUACACCACUAGUUCUCAUGGUUUGGGGUUCUUCAGACUUGGAUUGGAAAUAUACCACCAGCUCUCCUUGGUCUCCAACUUGCCAAAUGAAGACCAUGGGACUUCUCAGCCUCAUCAUCAUCUGAGGAGCAGAGCUGCCUCAGGCAUGCUGUGCAGGGCAUUGAAGGUGAAAGCUGAGAGGAAGACGAGCUGCUUGCUGUGAAGAGAACUGCAGAGCAUGAAUCAACUUAUCAAGUUCUAUCAGUUCCUGCAUGGGGGAACUGAUGGGUAUGAGAACAUCUUUUUAGGGCUUUCUCUGUGACCAGUAUGGGAAUAGUGGGCAUGCAAUAUUAGUAGGGAUGACAGCAAGCACCGUGGAAGGUACUGGGUGCCUUGGGGUCAGAAUGAAGGCCUGAGCCUUCCACCCUCCAGUGUUGGCACUGCCUCUGUUUAUGUUACCAGGACAGAGCCCUUUGCUAUUUUAGUCACUGUACAUCUGACUCUCAAUUUCCCCCUCUGUGAAAUGAGAUUAAAUAUUCUUAUAUGACAGCAGAAGUCCCCAACCUUUUUGGCAUCAAGGACCAGUUUUGUGGAAAAUAAUUUUUCCAUAGACCAGUUGUGGGAAGGCAGUUUUGGGAUGAAAUUGUUCCACCUCAGGUCAUCAGGCAUUAAACUCUUAUAAGUAGCAUGCAGCAUAGAUCCCUCCCAUGCAUAGUUCACAAUAGGAUUUGGGUUCCUAUGAGAACCUAAUGCUGCCACUGAUCUGACAGGAGGCAGAGCUAAGGCCAUAAUCUCUCCUCAGUCACCUGCUCACCACCUGCUGUGCAGCCCAGUUUCCUAGAGGCCAUAGACUAGCACUAGUUCAUGGCUUAGGGAUUUGGAACCCCUGUAUAAUAGAAGAAUAAAAAAAAAGAAAAGAAAAAAAUGUUGGUGACUAGAAAAACUUGUAACACAACAUAUAGUUGUCACUCCAUGCUUUUUUAUUCACUUUAGGAAAACGUUUUUUCCUACUUAGGAUUGCCUACCUCAUUUAAAAUGUACAUCUUCCCCCAAAUUGUCCUUGAGUGGUUGUGCUAUAUCCACAGAUCUCUUAUGUCACAUUCCUUGACUUUAUAGACACUGAGUUUUAGCUGCUGCACGUCACUCUUGGUCAAAUAUUGAAUAGUGAAUAUUGUCAAUUUCAUAAACUUUUGUAUGACUGAAUUACUUGGCUUGAUUCUGGGGGGAAAAAAAGACUCAAGUGGUUCUUGCUCAUCACAGGCCUCUGUCAUGUGAACUUGCAGAAAUCUAAAGCCUGAGGCCAUGUUAGAAUAAGGUCAAAGUGAUAAGAAAGUAAAAAAAAUUUGGAGAGAUUCACCCAAUUUAGCCUCCCUUCCCAUCUAUGUGCAGAUAUGUUUAUGUUCCUAAUCCUUUUCUCUUCUCAUUAUAAAUUAAUGACUUAAAACUCCAUAGUGCUGGCCAGGCACAGUGGCUCACACCUGUAAUCCCAGCACUUUGGGUGGCCUAGAUGGACAGAUCAUAAGGUCAGGAGAUCGAGAACAUCCUGGCCAACAUGGUGAAACCCUGUCUCUACUAAAAAUACUAAACUUAACUGGGUGUGGUGGCUCCUAAUCCCAGCUACUCAGGAGGCUGAAGCAAGAGAAUUGCUUGAACCAGGGAGGUUGAGGUUGCAGUGAGCUAAGAUCGUGCCACUGCACUCCAGACUGGCGACAGAGCGAGACUCAAAAAACAAAAAACAAACCAAAAAACUCAUAAUGUCUCUUAGGUACAUCACACUGACCACUGAUUCAAUUACAGUAGAGUCACUAAUUAAUGGUACUUCAUUUAGCACAAGUUUAAUUGUUGUGCAGUUGAUAUGCAAAAUCACUUAAAGAAAUAUAGAAUCCAAAGGAAUGGGAACACUUGUUAUUUUGCCAAACAAGUAAGAUUGUACUGCCUCUGUCAAAGUGAGCUCACUACCACGUGGCAUUCAAAGCCUGUAUGGCUGAACACAGGAUACUGAGUUCCUGAUUUGUCAGUGUGGCCUUUUUCUAACACUAAUAAGGACCAGUAAAAAAAGGUAUUUUCAGUCUUGCUUUUCAUAUCUUUUAAUUCACAUCUUCAGUAACUAGAGUCAUUUUUCUUCUUUGCUUACUUAAACAUUCCACCCAACAGUAAUCAUACCAACAGCUCUCAGAUGCUGACAACUGAAUGACAUUGCUUUUGAUAACUGAUUAUGUUCUGUUAUUGAGGCAGAAUUUUCAGAAAAUGUAAAAUAAAAGCAAAAGAAAACGAAGUCUCAAUUUUACAUGCAGAUUAUGAUGAGCUGUUUUCUUUGAGUCUUACUUUGGAUCCUCCCUACGUUUUCCUUCUUCUGUGUUUCGAUGCAGAAUUGGAUAGAACUGCACCAACAAGCAGCUGCAUAAUUAGCAGCAAUUAACCCGGAGUGAGAUUCAACAAAGACAGUACAAUACUCAAUUUCGCCCUCUAUUCCCAAUUAUUCAGUCACAAUUCUAAUUCUGUAAUUCCAGGAAAGAAACAGGAACUACCAUCAGAACUGACAUAAGAGAACAAUAAUGGAGCAAACUUAGAUUUGAUUUUGAAAAUGCUUCAUCCACUGCUAAUAAAAAUGAUGCUCCAGUAACUUUCCUAGAUCAGUUAUCUAAUGACAGAAUCAGAAGUCAAAGAUUGCAGGGUUAUAAGGAAGAGUUUGUUUGUUUGUUUGUUUUAAUUUGUCCACCCUAUCAUAUUGAUCAUAAGUGACCAUGUCUUGAGUGAUCAAUGCUAAGAAAUAGACAAUCAGUGCCAGGCAACUCCUGUUGCUAUCAGGCAGCACUCUGGGUUCACCUGGCUCCCUAAGAUACAACAGCAAUCUUAAUUUGUCCAACUGCACCUUCCAGCUUCUUACCCUGACACUCACCAUCAAAGGAGGGUGCUAGGAAAGCCUCCAGUCUGAUCAGCCCAGUCCAAACCAGAUGGCCAGAUGGUGGGUUUUGCUGCAGGGACAGCUAAUGAACUCAUGUGAUAGUGAGAUCAUCCUCCAGCCUUUCAGAAGAGGAGACAGUGAUAUUAAAUUAGCUUUUCAAAGGAUCCUCUUUCAGCUUAAUCAACAUUUGCAGAAGGAGGAAUUAGAUUGCACAGUCUGUAAAUGCAGCUAGCCACCUUCCAUGGUGAGACAUUGCUGCUUCUGAUCGCCAUGGAGAAUGGACUUUAUUUGUAUAGCCAGGUCAGGUCUGAGUGCAUAUUUACUAGCAAUGAUGAUAGUUGAUUUUAAACUCUUAGCAUGUUUGUUUUGAGAAAUGAAAACAGGUCAGAACCCUAAAAUUUAAAACAUAAAAUCGCCUCUGAAGUUCAGGCUUAGAUUAAACAGCCUCAAGAAAAAUACUGUGGUUUCCUAGUUAACCUUGAAAUUGUUUGUUUUUUUAAUCUGUGGAAUAUUAAAAUAUGUUAUAUCUGUUGAGUAUGCUCCUCUUCUAAGCAAAGAACAUAUUCUUUUCAAAGUCUAAGAUUGUUUAGCUCAGUUGGUUAGAAUACAGUAUUUAAAAAGAACUUAAGGAGCAGCUGUAUUUGUUCUAUUCCAUGGCCAUGAGUUUCACACAUGCAGUCUGGAAAAUCUCCAUCUUGGUCAUAAGGAGUCUGAAUCAAAGAGUUCAAGCCUGAGGCUUCCUCUGGGAGAAAAAAAGAGAGAGAAAGAGACAAUGCCAAAUAACUGUUCUGCCAUAGGCAUCCACUUCGUGUGUUGCAUCAAAUGCUGCAUUUUACUACAUUGAAGGGAGAAGAUCAGUUCAAUUUUAGGACUCCAAAAGUUAAAUUUUUAAUUUUAUGAAGUAAUUAUGAUUUUCAAGGACAAAUACUGGCAAAAGUAAGCAUUUCAUAAAGGUAUGUUGAGUAAAUGAAUGAAAGAAUAUAUCAGCUUUGUCCAAAAUCCUGAGCAAAAAAAUAGAGGCAUGCUUUAUUUAAAUGUAUCUAUCACAUAAAUAUAGCAAAAUUGAAGCAUAUGAAAUUAAAUCCAGAUAUCUGAAACUAUUUUAAGGGUACUUAUCUUGAGGAGAAGUAUAAUAUCUUCUUGACACCUGGAUUUCUCUCCAUAUAAAGCAGGGUAAUCAACUUUUGUUAUCAGACAUUUUAAAUCUGAAGAAAAAUCACAUUCUUAUUUUCUUUUUCCAGUAGCUCAGCUCUUGGGAAGCAGAAAAGGCAGCAUCCUCAAUGUAUCUGUGGGCCACAGCGAGCAGCAUUCAGAGCAUUAUCUCCAGCAUUGUUGUUCCUUCAGCUCUGGCCUACUCUGUUCUCCUAUACCUUAGUUAAAUGAAUAGAGGCAAAGGAACACUUAUCUUUGGGCAUCAUUUGAAAAACUUAUAGAAGUCACUGAAAUGAGGAUUUCAAAAAUUUCAAAUUCCAGAAAGCAUGAAUUGUAUUAAAUAAUAGUCAAAAGCCAUUUUAGCAAAAUGGGAGGGACUUCAUUCUUAUAAAAUUUGGGGUACCUAGUCCAUCUCAAUCUCUGCAGUAUAUGAUCACAAAUAUUAGCACAAUAUGAGAAAGCCAAUUAUGUAAAUGGGAAACUAACAAAUAAUUCAAAACCAAGACUAAAACAUAGCUGCUCAC